rnacentral:rRNA from 1 species
CCUACGGGAGGCAGCAGUAGGGAAUAUUGCUCAAUGGGGGAAACCCUGAAGCAGCAAAGCCGCGUGGAGGAUGAAGGUUUUCGGAGUGUAAACUCCUUUUGUUAGAGAAGAUAAUGACGGUAUCUAACGAAUAAGCACCGGCUAACUAAGUGCCAGCAGCCGCGGUAAUACGGAGGGUGCAAGCGUUACUCGGAAUCACUGGGCGUAAAGAGCGCGUAGGCGGGAUAGCAAGUCAGGUGUGAAAUCCUAUGGCUUAACCAUAGAAAUGCCUUUGAAACUGUUAUUCUAGAGUAUGGGAGAGGUAUGUGGAAUUCUUGGUGUAGGGGUGAAAUCCGUAGAGAUCAAGAGGAAUACUCAUUGCGAAGGCGACCUGCUAGAACAUAACUGACGCUGAUGCGCGAAAGCGUGGGGAGCGAACAGGAUUAGAUACCCCGGUAGUC